AUGACGAGAAAGAAUUCAGAAAAGUUAAAAUUCAGAAUUUUUUUGUUUGUGGGUUUGAUUUACCAAGCAGAUUUUUGCGUUGAAUGGAAACUUAUUGAAAACUAAAAAAGUUUGUAUAUCCUAAUUUCAGAAUGCAGAGUUUGGUUCUUUUGUUUUUUUCCUUUUCAUGGGCUAAUAAUUUGGCCAUGCUUCUACUCUUUGCAGUUGCUAGGGACUGGAAUGGAUACGCAGGAUACAUCUCCUUCAGUGUUGCUAUUCUUUGACAAGGAAAGAUUUAUAUUUAAUGCUGGAGAGGUAAGGAACUCAAUUACAUACAUUUACAUCUGGUUAGUUUUGUAA
rnacentral:lncRNA from 1 species